GACGAACGCUGGCGGCGUGCCUAAUACAUGCAAGUAGAACGCACAGUUUAUACCGUAGCUUGCUACACCAUACACUGUGAGUUGCGAACGGGUGAGUAACGCGUAGGUAACCUGCCUGGUGGCGGGGGAUAACUAUUGGAAACGAUAGCUAAUACCGCAUAAUAUUGAUCAUUGCAUGAUAAUUGAUUGAAAGAUGCUAUUGCAUCACUACCAGAUGGACCUGCGUUGUAUUAGCUAGUAGGUGAGGUAACGGCUCACCUAGGCGACGAUACAUAGCCGACCUGAGAGGGUGAUCGGCCACACUGGGACUGAGACACGGCCCAGACUCCUACGGGAGGCAGCAGUAGGGAAUCUUCGGCAAUGGACGAAAGUCUGACCGAGCAACGCCGCGUGAGUGAAGAAGGUUUUCGGAUCGUAAAGCUCUGUUGUAAGAGAAGAACGGGUGUGAGAGUGGAAAGUUCACACUGUGACGGUAUCUUACCAGAAAGGGACGGCUAACUACGUG
rnacentral:rRNA from 1 species